AUGCUUAAUUAAUUAACACCGAUCGAUCCCCAUUAAAACCAAACCACAUCGAUCAGACGUCGAAGGUGUUCUUGCCGGUGAACUUGACCUCAAUCGGGCUAACAUUCUUCCCGAUGCUCCUGAAAUUCUGCCCGACGCCCUGCCUGCCGGCGUUCACCUUCUCCGGGUACACCCCGUCCUUGGGGUGGAGGUACUGCACCUCGCCGCUGGGGAAGACGCGGUAGAACUGGUAGGCGAUCUUGUACUUGGAGCGGAGCCGGUUGCCGAGCGCCAGGCACUGCUCCUUGCGCGCCAGCUUGAGGAGGUUGGGCCCCUCACGCAUGAUGGCGGCGCCGCCCGUCGGCAUCUCGAACACCUGCUCCUUGGGCGACGUCCACGUGAUGACGUAGAAUUCCUCGACCUGGGCUUUGCGGAGGAGCCCGCCCGUGCUGCCGCCGAAGAUUGGGGAUGGGGUUGAGGGGUCGAGCUGGGGCGGGACGAAGCCGGCGGGGGCUGGGGUGGCGACGGGAGCCGCCGGGGUUUCUGGGGCGGCGGCGUGGAGGGCGGUUGGGGCGCGGGAGGUGGGGGAAGGGAAGGCGAGGGAGCGGGGUUUGGGGGAGGAGGAAGGGGACCGGGUGGCGGCGAGGAGGUGGCGGGUGGCGGCGGAGGCUUGCGUGGCCAUGGCCAUGGCGGGAGCUAGCUUAGCGAGAGCAAGGAGCGCGCGUGUGGGGGAUGGAUAUGGAUCGGAGUUGAUGGAGGGAAGAAGAAGAAGGGGUGGCUGAGCUUUGGCUAAAGAGGGGAUUGGGGGUGGAGAAGCGGAUAAGGGGAUAUGAGGCCGGCCAAUGGGGAGCCCGGGUUUUGAUACGGCCGGAGCGGGAGGCUUGGCGUGGCGACCACAGAAAACACAAUACAAAUCGCAGCGUGUCAACGUGCACUGGGGUCGCCGGUCGCGGUUUUCCGUGG
rnacentral:lncRNA from 1 species